rnacentral:tRNA from 1 species
GCGAGGAUGGCGGAACUGGCAGACGCGCAAGACUUAGGAUCUUGUGGUUUAUACCGUGCGGGUUCGACCCCCGCUCCUCGCA